ACUCCAGUUUGCCUUUUAGAGGUGCUAUAAGUGGGUAAGGAGAAGAGAUGGAAGCAUGUGCCACGUGGGGCAGGCAAGCGGCUGAGGUGGUGUGGAUGAUACUGGCUGCACUGUUGGAGCUUGGACUCGGAGAGGAACACGUGAGCACAAUCGUAUGUUGCAUCAGCAGUAGUCAGCAUUGUGGAGAAGGUGAGCAAUGGGGCUGGCGUGCUAGUGAAUGCUGUUUCUCUGUUUUUGCAGCUGAUGAUGAGCCUUCAAUUGACUAAGAUGACAAACGGUGCCUGUGCAUUUCUUGAGGCGGAGGAACUUCACCAUGCAGCAGC
rnacentral:lncRNA from 1 species